CGGACGAUCGAUGUAUCUAUGUAUAUUUUCUAAGUGAGAGUAAGAGAACGUCUAAUGACAUCUAUUACGUUUAUUUAGUGCGCAAGUAUACAAGCGCCUCGAGUUAGUUUCAAUUCAUCAACUACCAAUUGCUGAUAACAAGUGUAGAGGGAGGGAAGGAAAGGAGGAUAGGAGUGUGUGAGCUUUCUGAGAAUUUUCGUUUAAAGAGAAAUUCUGCAAUGUAACCAUCAUAUUUAUUUGUAAGAUUAGAUUCACACUAUUUGCCUCCACAUUGUUAAGUACCACAGAGGGAUAUUAUAAUUAUUCUUACAGAAAGGGACUGCCUCACACACACACACACACACACACACACACACACACACACACACACACACACACACACACACACACACACACACACACACACACACACACACACACACGUAUAAAGAUCUACAAAGAAAACUAAAAUAAAAAUUAAUGAAAUUGUAAUCUUUUCUCGUGCUCAUUUUAAUUCAUUCAUGAAUAUAAUCAUUAAGAUACAUUUGUGUAUAUAUAUAUAUUGCACACUACUAGACUAGCACCAAUAAAGUACUGGUCAUAAUGGACCACAAUUAUUAAUCAGACACAUAUAUGUAAAUACAUCAUAUACAAAUUACCAUGUGUCAAUAGAAUAUGUACACAUAUACAUAUAAUACAAUAGUCAACAUAUACAUUCAAGACAAAAAUAUUUCAACAGGAAUGAACAUUUCAAAAAAUGCCAUAUUAUCUAUUUGAAUUGUUUAAAUUUUAAUGUCAUUGUCUCAUUUGUCAUAUUCUGUUUUCAGCUUAGAGAUUUUUUCUUUCCAUCGAAAAUAUUCGUUGAAACGUAUUGCA
rnacentral:lncRNA from 1 species